rnacentral:rRNA from 1 species
CGGUGUUCAACUGGCGUGUCCGCGGGACGUCCUGCCGGUGGGCUUAGCCCGCAAGGGCGGCCCAACUUCAAAUCCCAUCGCGGUGCUCUUCACUGAGUGUCGAGGUGGGCCGGCACGUUUACUUUGAACAAAUUAGAGUGCUUAAAGCAGGCUAAAACUUCGCCUGAAUACUGUGUGCAUGGAAUAAUGGAAUAGGACCUCGGUUCUAUUUUGUUGGUUUUCGGAACCCCGAGGUAAUGAUUAAUAGGAACGGAUGGGGGCAUUCGUAUUGCGACGUUAGAGGUGAAAUUCUUGGAUCGUCGCAAGACGGACAGAAGCGAAAGCAUUUGCCAAAAACGCUUUCAUUGAUCAAGAACGAAAGUUAGAGGUUCGAAGGCGAUCAGAUACCGCCCUAGUUCUAACCAUAAACGAUGCCAGCUAGCGAUCCGUCGACGUUCCUCCGAUGACUCGACGGGCAGCUUCCGGGAAACCAAAGCUUUUGGGUUCCGGGGGAAGUAUGGUUGCAAAGCUGAAACUUAAAGGAAUUGACGGAAGGGCACCACCAGGAGUGGAGCCUGCGGCUUAAUUUGACUCAACACGGGAAACCUCACCAGGCCCGGACACCGGAAGGAUUGACAGAUUGAGAGCUCUUUCUUGAUUCGGUGGGUGGUGGUGCAUGGCCGUUCUUAGUUGGUGGAGCGAUUUGUCUGGUUAAUUCCGAUAACGAACGAGACUCUAACCUGCUAACUAGGCGUAUUUUCGACAUCUCAAAGGUCCGUCGUCCCGGCCCUCGGGUCGUGGGCGUGCGCGAUUUUUACUGUCGGCGUACUAUCAAUUCUUCUUAGAGGGACAGGUGGCUUCUAGCCGCACGAGAUUGAGCAAUAACAGGUCUGUGAUG